rnacentral:rRNA from 1 species
CUACGGGCCGCACCAGUGGGGAAUAUUGCACAAUGGGCGCAAGCCUGAUGCAGCCAUGCCGCGUGUAUGAAGAAGGCCUUCGGGUUGUAAAGUACUUUCAGCGGGGAGGAAGGGAGUAAAGUUAAUACCUUUGCUCAUUGACGUUACCCGCAGAAGAAGCACCGGCUAACUCCGUGCCAGCAGCCGCGGUAAUACGGAGGGUGCAAGCGUUAAUCGGAAUGACUGGGCGUAAAGCGCACGCAGGCGGUUUGUUAAGUCAGAUGUGAAAUCCCCGGGCUCAACCUGGGAACUGCAUCUGAUACUGGCAAGCUUGAGUCUCGUAGAGGGGGGUAGAAUUCCAGGUGUAGCGGUGAAAUGCGUAGAGAUCUGGAGGAAUACCGGUGGCGAAGGCGGCCCCCUGGACGAAGACUGACGCUCAGGUGCGAAAGCGUGGGGAGCAAACAGGAUUAGAUACCCUUGUAGUC